UGCCAAACGGAUCCUUGGUUCGGAGGUGCGCGGCGCCGACGAUGACAACCUUUCUAUCGAUGCAAGGGCAGCAGGAGCUCAUGACGCUGUUGAUGCCACCACCAUGCACGGGGUUGAUGCAAGGCGGGACAAGUAUGUAUACCAGGCAAAGUACUCAAUCUGUUUGGCAUUUAGCUUUUUGAUUCUGUUUUUAGUGAGCUUUUUGAUUCAGAUUAUUUGUUUACCUGAUGCCUUCACUCUAGGUAAUCUGUUUGUCUGACAUUUUGCUUUUUGAUUCAGUGCGAUCACUAAUGGGGAGAACAUAAAACUUCAAUUGAGGGCACUGUGAUUCUCUAGCUACAUGUAUCAUGUAAGUGACGUCUUUCCAUGAAUCUUCUAUUCAUUAUAUAACCUCCCAGGCCCUUAGAAAAGGAUCUCUGUUAACUCGAUUUAUUUCUGUUGAUUCUUAUAGAGCUUCUGCAGGAGGGCGUCACCUGCGGCAUCACUUGCAUCGACCUCUCACCGAUCACCAUCCCAAGGAUGCACGACAGACUGGCGGAGCAGGGCACCAGUGAUUAUUUCACCAAUUUGCUCGACUCAUAGUUCCCUUCC
rnacentral:lncRNA from 1 species